AUUAAAAGAAGAAUCAUGGGACGUGAAAUCUUUCCACGUCUUAACCUUCACAGAAGACGAGAUUCUAGAUUCCAUUAAACAAGAUAAUUUAAUUGGCAAAGGCGGCUCCGGCAACGUCUACAAAGUCCUCCUCUCAAACGGCAAAGAACUCGCCGUCAAACACAUAUGGAAUCACAACGUUCCAGACCGGAAAAAGAGCCGGAGCUCGUCUCCGAUGAUCGGAAAACGAGGGGGGAAAUCGAAAGAGUUUGACGCAGAGGUGCAGACUCUGAGUUCCAUCCGACAUGUGAACGUGGUG
rnacentral:lncRNA from 1 species